rnacentral:tRNA from 1 species
GCGGCCGUAGUCUAGCCUGGAUAGGAUGCCGGCCCCCCAAGCCGGCGACCCGGGUUCAAAUCCCGGCGGCCGCACCA